CACGUAGGGGGCGAGCGUUGUCCGGAUUUAUUGGGCGUAAAGAGCUCGUAGGCGGCUCAGUAAGUCAGGUGUGAAAACUCCAGGCUCAACCUGGAGACGCCACUUGAUACUGCUGUGGCUAGAGUCCGGUAGGGGAGCAUGGAAUUCCUGGUGUAGCGGUGAAAUGCGCAGAUAUCAGGAGGAACACCAGCGGCGAAGGCGGCGCUCUGGGCCGGUACUGACACUGAGGAGCGAAAGCGUGGGUAGCAAACAGG
rnacentral:rRNA from 1 species